rnacentral:rRNA from 2 species
GGGUUGUGAGGUUAAGCGACUAAGCGUACACGGUGGAUGCCCUGGCAGUCAGAGGCGAUGAAGGACGUGCUAAUCUGCGAAAAGCGUCGGUAAGGUGAUAUGAACCGUUAUAACCGGCGAUGUCCGAAUGGGGAAACCCAGUGCAAUUCGUUGCACUAUCGUUAACUGAAUACAUAGGUUAACGAGGCGAACCGGGGGAACUGAAACAUCUAAGUACCCCGAGGAAAAGAAAUCAACCGAGAUUCCCCCAGUAGCGGCGAGCGAACGGGGAGCAGCCCAGAGUCUGAAUCAGCUUGUGUGUUAGUGGAACGGUCUGGAAAGUCCGACGGUACAGGGUGAUAGUCCCGUACACCAAAAUGCACAGGCUGUGAACUCGAAGAGUAGGGCGGGACACGUGGUAUCCUGUCUGAAUAUGGGGGGACCAUCCUCCAAGGCUAAAUACUCCUGACUGACCGAUAGUGAACCAGUACCGUGAGGGAAAGGCGAAAAGAACCCCGGCGAGGGGAGUGAAAAAGAACCUGAAACCGUGUACGUACAAGCAGUGGGAGCACCUUCGGGUGUGACUGCGUACCUUUUGUAUAAUGGGUCAGCGACUUAUAUUCUGUAGCAAGGUUAACCGUAUAGGGGAGCCGCAGGGAAACCGAGUCUUAACUGGGCGUUAAGUUGCAGGGUAUAGACCCGAAACCCGGUGAUCUAGCCAUGGGCAGGUUGAAGGUUGGGUAACACUAACUGGAGGACCGAACCGACUAAUGUUGAAAAAUUAGCGGAUGACUUGUGGCUGGGGGUGAAAGGCCAAUCAAACCGGGAGAUAGCUGGUUCUCCCCGAAAGCUAUUUAGGUAGCGCCUCGUGAACUCAUCUUCGGGGGUAGAGCACUGUUUCGGCUAGGGGGUCAUCCCGACUUACCAACCCGAUGCAAACUACGAAUACCGAAGAAUGUUAUCACGGGAGACACACGGCGGGUGCUAACGUCCGUCGUGAAGAGGGAAACAACCCAGACCGCCAGCUAAGGUCCCAAAGUCAUGGUUAAGUGGGAAACGAUGUGGGAAGGCACAGACAGCCAGGAUGUUGGCUUAGAAGCAGCCAUCAUUUAAAGAAAGCGUAAUAGCUCACUGGUCGAGUCGGCCUGCGCGGAAGAUGUAACGGGGCUAAACCAUGCACCGAAGCUGCGGCAGCGACACUAUGUGUUGUUGGGUAGGGGAGCGUUCUGUAAGCCUGCGAAGGUGUGCUGUGAGGCAUGCUGGAGGUAUCAGAAGUGCGAAUGCUGACAUAAGUAACGAUAAAGCGGGUGAAAAGCCCGCUCGCCGGAAGACCAAGGGUUCCUGUCCAACGUUAAUCGGGGCAGGGUGAGUCGACCCCUAAGGCGAGGCCGAAAGGCGUAGUCGAUGGGAAACAGGUUAAUAUUCCUGUACUUGGUGUUACUGCGAAGGGGGGACGGAGAAGGCUAUGUUAGCCGGGCGACGGUUGUCCCGGUUUAAGCAUGUAGGCUGGUUAUCCAGGCAAAUCCGGAUAAUCAAGGCUGAGGUGUGAUGACGAGGCACUACGGUGCUGAAGUAACAAAUGCCCUGCUUCCAGGAAAAGCCUCUAAGCAUCAGGUAACAUCAAAUCGUACCCCAAACCGACACAGGUGGUCAGGUAGAGAAUACCAAGGCGCUUGAGAGAACUCGGGUGAAGGAACUAGGCAAAAUGGUGCCGUAACUUCGGGAGAAGGCACGCUGGUGUGUAGGUGAAGUCCCUGCGGAUGGAGCUGAGACCAGUCGAAGAUACCAGCUGGCUGCAACUGUUUAUUAAAAACACAGCACUGUGCAAACACGAAAGUGGACGUAUACGGUGUGACGCCUGCCCGGUGCCGGAAGGUUAAUUGAUGGGGUUAUCCGUAAGGAGAAGCUCUUGAUCGAAGCCCCGGUAAACGGCGGCCGUAACUAUAACGGUCCUAAGGUAGCGAAAUUCCUUGUCGGGUAAGUUCCGACCUGCACGAAUGGCGUAAUGAUGGCCAGGCUGUCUCCACCCGAGACUCAGUGAAAUUGAACUCGCUGUGAAGAUGCAGUGUACCCGCGGCAAGACGGAAAGACCCCGUGAACCUUUACUAUAGCUUGACACUGAACAUUGAGCCUUGAUGUGUAGGAUAGGUGGGAGGCUUUGAAGCGUGGACGCCAGUCUGCGUGGAGCCAACCUUGAAAUACCACCCUUUAAUGUUUGAUGUUCUAACGUUGGCCCCUGACCGGGGUUGCGGACAGUGUCUGGUGGGUAGUUUGACUGGGGCGGUCUCCUCCCAAAGCGUAACGGAGGAGCACGAAGGUUAGCUAAUCCUGGUCGGACAUCAGGAGGUUAGUGCAAUGGCAUAAGCUAGCUUGACUGCGAGCGUGACGGCGCGAGCAGGUGCGAAAGCAGGUCAUAGUGAUCCGGUGGUUCUGAAUGGAAGGGCCAUCGCUCAACGGAUAAAAGGUACUCCGGGGAUAACAGGCUGAUACCGCCCAAGAGUUCAUAUCGACGGCGGUGUUUGGCACCUCGAUGUCGGCUCAUCACAUCCUGGGGCUGAAGUAGGUCCCAAGGGUAUGGCUGUUCGCCAUUUAAAGUGGUACGCGAGCUGGGUUUAGAACGUCGUGAGACAGUUCGGUCCCUAUCUGCCGUGGGCGCUGGAGAAUUGAGGGGGGCUGCUCCUAGUACGAGAGGACCGGAGUGGACGCAUCACUGGUGUUCGGGUUGUCAUGCCAAUGGCACUGCCCGGUAGCUAAAUGCGGAAGAGAUAAGUGCUGAAAGCAUCUAAGCACGAAACUUGCCCCGAGAUGAGUUCUCCCUGAGACU